rnacentral:lncRNA from 1 species
GCAACUCAAACUCAUUUUCUUCCUUCUCAGACUCAUCAUCAUCUUCAAAUUUUUCUUCUUCCUCAUCCUCCGCAUCCUCUUCAUCCUCUUCUUCUUUCUCUUCCUCUUCCACCAUCGUUUCCUCUACUCUUUGUCACAACUUAUAUAUCUGGUCAUCAUCAAGCAUUUCAUAAUGAAAGAAAUCAACUAACAAAAUUGGAUGCGUCAAAUUCUUCAUUAGCCUGAACUAUAGAUGGAUUUAGGAUAUCAUCCUCUUGAUACACAUUGAUAUCUGAAGAUAUAUUAUUAUCAUCUAUAUCUACUGAAGAGAUAUUAAAAGACUUC